rnacentral:lncRNA from 1 species
UUGAACAGGCCUGUGAAGCUCAUCUUCAGGACUACAAAGACUCUUCUGAGUUUAAGGAGUUUGUAGCUGAGGCUUGUGAAGAACAUCUUAAUGAGUAUAAAGCUUCUGGUGAAAUGAAACAGGCAAUCUAUGAUAAGGCCUACCGCAUGUAUGUAACUGGCUACAAUCGUGGUUUAAGAGAAGCUAGACAGGCUCCUGAUAUUCCUUUGGCCGAGCUUCGUAGGCGCGAAGUGGACUCAGAUGGCGAGUCAGUGCUAUACGGGGAGGAUGAUUUUCCUUUGCCCCGAGGAGAUUCCCGGAG